AAAUGAAUUGACGGGGGCUCACACAAGCGGUGGAGCAUGUUGCUCAAUUAGAUGCAACGCUAAGAACCUUAUCCUAGGCUUGACAUGCUUGGAUGCCUGCCCGGAAACGGAAUAGGCUGCCCUUCGGGGUGAAACUUGCACAGGUGCUGCAUGGCUGUCGUCAGCUCGUGUCGUGAGAUGUCGGGUUAAGUCCCUUAACGAGCGAAACCCUUGUCGCUAAUUGCCAGCGGGUUAUGCCGGGAACUUUAGCGAGACUGCCGGUGUCAAACCGGAGGAAGGUGGGGAUGACGUCAAGUCCUCAUGGCCUUUAUGCCUAGGGCUGCAAACGUGCUACAAUGGCGCAUACAAACCGACGCAAAACCGCGAGGUCCAGCAAAUCGGAAAAAAAGCGCCCCAGUUCGGAUUGGAGGCUGCAACCCGCCUCCAUGAAGUUGGAAUCGCUAGUAAUCGCGGAUCAGCUACGCCGCGGUGAAUGUGUUCCUGAGCCUUGCACACACCGCCCGU
rnacentral:rRNA from 1 species